UAUCUAAACAUCCUAUCUACAGCUAUUGGUAUCACCUUAGUUGGGGGCCCCAGGCAGUUUUGCCUAAUGGUAAAGUCCGCCCAUCUUCCGUGUCUUCCUCCUGAAACUUCUGUCUCUGUUCUGACAAUGCACUUUUUUCACUUGUGUGACGUCCACUUCAGCCCACUGUAGCAGUCCAUUCACUGUGUCCAUUAUUUCUUACACUCUGUGGCCGACCUGUGAGCAACAACACAAUCGUUUCAUUGUUUGUUCAUUUGAAUUCAAAUACUGCAGCACAGCUCGUUAUAGCUUCCACAUCCUUCAUGAGGACUGCCUCUGUUCUUUUUACUUGUUCAACAACUAUAAAUGCAAUUUUCCAUUUCCUGUGGUUUAAUACACACUUCCAUAAGAUUUGUUUGCAUAACAAACAAGCACUUCUAUUUUAUUGUGUUUAUAUUUAGUAAUUUAAAUAUAUGGAACCCCGGGUAUUCAGACAUAAAGCCUGGGAAAAAAUGACUAGGAGAAAUGUUGAAACUGAAUGAAUCACUUUACAAAUUGCAGUUACAAUACAGCAUCACACAGGGCACACAGGGCAAAACAAUCAAGUGCACCUCAAGUCAUUAGCAAAGUCAUUAUGCUUUUAAUUGAUGUCAGUACACAGAACCUUAGAGGUUUCCUAUAGUGUUUGAGUAAGACUGAUGUGGUUUGAGUUCAGUUUAAAGUCAUAGUAAUUUCUGCUACCUCAGUGCUGUAGCCAUACUGAAACAAUAUGAUUUUAUAUCCUUUAUCAGCCACUUUGGCUGCGAUAAGGGUGGUUUACAAACAGGCCCAAAAAUGAUGCUGAAGCCCGUGUUGCCAACACAUUUCCAAUGAAAGUAGAGUAGUUAUAUGUUUCUCAAGCGAUUGCUACAAAUUGCAAGAUGUCAUCAUACAGAUGUCAUUUGCUUUCUCACUGCACAUCAGAGGAGCAGCCAGCCAUGUUUACAUCACCUGAACAGAUUUGUCACCAAAAAUGCUUUGGGUGGGAACACAGUGACACCGAUCCCUAUUUUCAGAAAAGUUGCUGGAUUUGUUACUAAUUGUUGUUGAGAAGCCACUAGGGGAAACUGAAAGGUUGCUAGCAGCAACGCCAGCGACAAAGUUGGCAAGUUGGCAGCAGUGCAACCAGAACCAUGAGGCCUUCUGAAGGAACAUGCUUUCAUGAUGUACUCUUCUCUGCCUUGUUACUAACCUUAUUCUGUGAAGUAAUCCAUCCCAUUGUAGUAGGGUAGUACCAACAAGUCCUCCAAACUAAACAACAAAAUAUGUCAUUUGUCCAUGCCCUCUAGAACGUCACAUAGAAGCAUUUUCUGAUCUGACUGUCAGUACGUCAUCAUUUGUCUGUCUUCCAAAACUGCGGCUUCGGGCGUCAAGCAGGAGAGGAGCGAGCGGGAGGUCAGGCAUCAGAGAGGCAGCGACAGCAUGUAGAGACAGAAUAUUUUUCACAGCUAAUGCAGUGAAUUAAAGAUUUAUUUCCACCAAACCACAGUUGGUGAUUGUUGGAACAGUUUAAAGGCUUAACCAAGACGGUCAUGGUGAGUUUUAUUCUGUUUCUGUCAGAGUUUGAAUUAACUGUAUUAGUAGUGUGUAAUAGUUUGGUGAAAGACAGAAACGUGAAUUCAGAAGGUGUAUAGUUGUAUUUUUCUGUUUGAUAAAGAAAAUAGGUGUAAGAUUAUUUCCUUUGACAGUUUGUGAGUUUAUUUAGUUUAUUUAUUAGACUAAAAAAGCUAAGAGAGCUUGUGUAAUGUAGCGAACUUGCCGCUGGCACACAUCUCCAAACUGGAACUACCUGAGCUAUACUAUCGGACUAGUUAUCGCCUCUCGACCGGGCCGGAACAAUAAUCAAUAAUCAAUAAUAAUAAACAAUAAUAAAUAAUGUAAUCAGUAUCUUAAUGUCUUAAAGCUAAUUUUAACAAAAUCUGUACUGUUGGGUGGUUUAAUCUAUAACAAAUCAGCAUAUUUAAAUAAAAAGACCUGUUUUGCAUGUACAAUCUUUAUCAGCAAAGUUAUUGACCGGAGUGUUUAUUGUAAACAUCCAUUUUACAGACCAACUUCCUGGUUCAACUUUGACCUUCUGUACUGCGGCAUAGUUGUGUGUGCACUCAGUUUUCUUGUGCAAAUGAGAGGUCAUUACUAACAUUUCAGUUUUACCUUCUAGAUAAUUUGGCUAAACUGCUGGCUUGUUUACAACCUGUCUGACCUCUCACUUUUCUUGUUGUUGUAGCAAUGUCGUCAUUUUCCCACGACUCAAUUACUUGGGUGAAUUCAGUGUUAUCACAACUGAUAAUGAUGAUAAUGAUGACCGAAAUUACAAAUUAAAACCCAAGUUGCAAUAAACCGGAAUUACCCUUUAAGGUAUAAUACUGUGUAUCUCCACAACUUCACAGAUCUGGGAAUAACUGGCUGAAGAACAUUCAUUUUAUUUAACACUUAAGUAAAUCCAACACAAAGGACCUUCAUCACAACACAAUAAAUCUGGAAGCCAACAAUACAAUGCAAAGACAUUCUCUCAUUUGAAGGAAUAAACUUCUACUGGAGAGUGAAAUAUUUAUCACAUUUAGUGUGACGUGAGACAAAGCAUGAAAUCGGAACAAAGCUCAUGAAGUCUGCGUUUUAGUUUCAGUUUACACUUGAGGCCCAGAUUUAUGAAAAGAUAAUAUCGUCUAUAUGUACAAGUGAGAAAUGUGUGUCCUUAAAUGUGGGUCUUGUUUAACUUCCUGAAGUGAAAAUUAUUCAUCAGUUACUUUCUUAAAAUAAAUAUCUUUUUUCUAACAAAUGAAAAAUGAUGAUGAAAUGAUGAUGUCCAAAAAUACUACACAGAAGAAUGUGUGACAAUACAUAACCCUCUCUGUCUCUCUCCCAGAUGCUACCAAACAUAUUCAUGUCUUUGGGGUAUUUAAAAAAAACAGAGACGUUUCCUUGUUUCCUUCCUCUGUCCCAGUAUUUCUGCUCGCUGUGAGGAGGAGACAGCUCAGUGGUUUGGAAACAGGCAAAAAUGAUCCCCCAGGGUGAUUAGAGGAUAAAAUACUGGAAAAUACUGUAAUGUAGGCUACUGGGGGACAUAUUUUGAAAUGCACAGAGUUGCAGUUUUAUUAGAAUAACUGUAAUAAAAGUCUAUCUCAAAAUAAAUGUGUUUCACAGUGGAACACAUUAUAAUAAAAUCGCACAGUGCAGUCCUCCACUCAUACAUUUCUGUCUGUUUUGCUUGGAAAAAGCCACUCAGCACCUACUGCAGAUACAUUUUUCUGAAUGACAUCAAUAUAAUUCACAUUUCCAUUCAGUAUUUCUGUGCUUAAUAUGAUUGGUUAAGGUUUUGACAUACAACAAAUGCAACAGUCAAACUUUUGACAAAGAUGGACCUGUGCUGAGAGCUCGCUGUCAUUAUUGCUUUAAUGCCGUGCUUUCUACUCUAGCAACAGUUAUUUUCUGCGUUGGGCCACAGAAUUAUUGCAUUAUUGAUCUAAUACCUUACUAAAGACAAAAGUAGAAAAAGGGAGGCUGAAACAUUAACAAGUAUUGUUUUUAUGGUUACCUGCAGUUUAAUUUACCUUGCACACUGAUUUAACCACACGGGUGGUUAAACUGUUGAACUAUAGCUGAACUAUGUUUGUUGUGUCCUAUUGUACUGUAAUGGAUCCCCCGGCAGCCAAUAAGAAACAAGUAUUUUCUGUGGCCGUGGUAUAUUUGUAAUUAUUAGUGGAAGAACAGGCUCCAUAAAGUGUGAAAAAGAGAAUGAGAAACAACUGAAGAGUUUGGCAAACAUAAUGCUAACACAAAUUUGGCUAGCUGUUGGAGUGUAGACUUCCUCUAAAGAGCAGGACAGAGUUGUGAUCAUUACCCUAAACUCUGAUAUACUUGCAUCUUGGCUCCCACUGGGUGAAUAUUCCAGUCCUGAACAGGCAUUUUUUUAACGUAACCUGUAAACCUACAAAAUAAUGUAGCUAGCUAAUGAUAUACCCCUUGCUUUUGAAAUAAACGCACUACUGUAGGUAAGCUAGUUAGUCGGGCAUGCUAAUGUUUGCCGCUUAACAGAUAAACCUACUGUUUAAUCCAUUCCCUACACUACACUUUUGCUUGUGUGUUUUUGGUUUUGUAAAGGCUAAAACGAAGGCACUCUCUCAAGUGCUCACUCCACGUGGGAAAAUCAACCAUUUGUUGUUGGUUUCCUGAGAAGUCGCCUUUGCGGAGACGUGAAGGUUUGGUUUCAGCAGAGCUGUCUCUGUCCAAGGUCAAGGAAUACAAAUUCUUUGUGGUGUCACAGUCAUUCACAGGGAUAGCGAUGUGAGGUGACACACACACACACACACUGAACGUAGAGAUGUAGUGUCGUGGCAUGUAGAUCAGCUGUGAUUCCCUGACUGCUUUGACACCUGUCAGUUUCUUUCUUUUUUUUUCUUCUUUCAUUCAUUCUUUUUUCCUUGCUGUAGUUGUCCUGUUCUCUCCACUUCUAUUUACAGUCCUCUUUCCUCUCUUUUAUGCUCUCCUCUUUCAUUAGACACCUGUCACUAUCCUGUCCUCAACUGUCCCUUCAGCCUACAAAAUGUGUCCGCUCGCCUUACUGUCACGGCCUGUGUGUGCAUGUGUGUGAUGAGAGCGAUAGAGUGUGUGUCCAGCUGCACUGGAGUGUGUGUGUGAGGGUGUAUUUGUGUGUGUCCGGUUGUGUCAGCCAUCCUGUCAGUUGAAAAUCAUGUGUAAGUCAGUGAAGGCUGCAAAGCAACUUCCUAACACAGGAUCUGCUGGCUAGUCACUUCAGCAGUGUCUCUCACUCUCUCCCUUUGUAGACAUGUCCGUCUCGCACGGUUAAAUAUAUCCCCGGCUUACAGUAUGUCUCUUUUGCUCUCUUGUCUUUCAGUCACCUUCUUUAUAACUGUUUCCUUCCAAUGUAAACUGUGUGAUUCAAGAAAGCUUUUAAUAUGUUUUUUUUUUUUUUAAUUAAAAAGCUCCUAGCAUAUUAGCUAAUCUUGACCAAACGUCCCGCUCUGAGGACUGAAGCAAGAAACGCUUAAUAAUAUUGUAAAAUUGCUGAUGCGAUACCUGAAUAUCAAUCUAGUGUCAAGCUAGCACAAAGUUAGCGAUUAGCUAGUGAAGAAAUAACCCUUAGCACAGACCACAGAGCACAUAUUGUUUUCAGGUGUUGGUGGAGACAAAAACAGAGGUCAGAGGAGAGUGAAUAUGGGUGCAACAUGUCUGAUCACCCACGAAACUCUAAAUGAAAUCUAAUGUUACUUUGUGUCUUGAUGUGUAGCUAGGCAAUUGUUUGCUAACAUGUUAGCCACAACAUGAGCUAAUUCAUUGAAUACAAUAUAUUGCCAAUUUCGCUGUAGCUUAAUACCCAGUCAGUCAUGUCACAAACUAUCCAGAUCUUGUGUCUUUUUUGGUCUCAGUCAUCCAGUCACUUCAACCCUGUUUUCAGCAUGUCCACCUCACACUUAUGUCUGAUCUGCCUUUGUUUGUCUUGUGGUCCUGCACGUCCCACUACUUGUCUGUGGUUGAAAGUUGAAGCUGUGUUUUCCUUUUAUGCGAUGUCCAUGCUUAACUUGCUCUGCUGUUCAUUUUCUUGUCUUUUUUUCGGUCUGUCUCAAAGUUUGUCUCUCCCCGCCUUCUUCUUUCUCUUUGUCUGUAACUGUAAUGAAAAUCCACUCUUUGAUGUGCUGACCCGCCACGAACCGGUGUAACUCUAUUACAGCGUGUGCUUUCUGUGCAAUCGUAGAGAAGCCAGUGUAAUCGUUGUCAUUCUGAAUGGUGCAAAAGGUGGUGACAAUGAGGGACACAUACUUGAAGAGGACACCAAAGGACUGAGCCCAGAAGUCUGGCUAACGUCUGUACUCCUGUAAACAUUUGAUUGUGUUGGUGUUAUGUGGAACGAACUUGGCACCCAAAAGCAGGACACACGGACAGAGCUGAUCAAGGUCUGAACAGUUUUAUUGUGUGGAAAGAUCAGGAGAUCGCGGCGUGUCUGGCGAAGUGCGUUGUAGCACGGAGAGUUCGACCGGACUGGACGGAGGCUGGAGAGUGGUGCGUUGAGCGGAGACCAGGGAAGCGGGUUCUGGACUGGCUGGCGUGGUUGAAGGCUGGGCUGAUCGGGUGAAGACACGCUGAGACUGAGACUAGAGUCCGAUGGCCGUGGCACAGGGAAGUGAUCACCGGCAGCACAGAGGUCUACAACGCAGACAGACAAUGUUACCAUAAGAUUCGAUUGUGUCACCUGCCUCCAAAUUGCCCACCUGUUUCCUAGGAGGACCUCACACAGCUCUCAUCUGCUCCACCCCAGACCGCUGUUCCUGCCUCAGCCUGCCCGCUCUCCCCAGCCUCGUGUCGGUCUGCUGUCUGCCUCCAGUCGACCGGCUUCCAGCAUUACCUCCACACUCCUGGUUCCUCAUUGUGUUUCCUAGAAAUAAACGGAACCUACUUCA